AGAACGAACGCUGGCGGCAUGCCUAAUACAUGCAAGUCGAACGAACACUUCGGUGUUAGUGGCGCACGGGUGCGUAACGCGUGGGAAUCUGCCCUUGGGUUCGGAAUAACAGUUGGAAACGACUGCUAAUACCGGAUGAUAUCGAAAGAUCAAAGAUUUAUCGCCCAGGGAUGAGCCCGCGUAGGAUUAGCUAGUUGGUGAGGUAAAGGCUCACCAAGGCGACGAUCCUUAGCUGGUCUGAGAGGAUGAUCAGCCACACUGGGACUGAGACACGGCCCAGACUCCUACGGGAGCAGCAGUAGGGAAUAUUGGACAAUGGGCGCAAGCCUGAUCCAAGC
rnacentral:rRNA from 1 species